rnacentral:rRNA from 1 species
AACGAACGCUGGCGGCGUGCCUAACACAUGCAAGUCGAACGGAGAUAAGAAGCUUGCUUCUUAUCUUAGUGGCGCACGGGUGAGUAACGCGUGGAUAAUCUACCUGAUGCUCUGGGAUAACAUCUCGAAAGGGGUGCUAAUACCGGAUAAGCCCACGAGAUCUUCGGAUCAUGCGGGAAAAGGAGGGGACCUUCGGGCCUUCCGACAUCAGAUGAGUCCGCGUCCCAUUAGCUAGUUGGCGGGGUAAUGGCCCACCAAGGCUACGAUGGGUAGCUGGUCUGAGAGGAUAAUCAGCCACACUGGAACUGAGACACGGUCCAGACUCCUACGGGAGGCAGCAGUGGGGAAUUUUGCGCAAUGGGGGAAACCCUGACGCAGCAACGCCGCGUGAGUGAUGAAGGCUUUCGGGUCGUAAAGCUCUGUCAGAAGGGAAGAAAUGUAGGUGGCUAAUAUCCAUUCUACUUGACGGUACCUUCAAAGGAAGCACCGGCUAACUCCGUGCCAGCCGCCGCGGUAAAAC